UAAAUAUGUCAUUACAAUAAUACCACAAAAUUCACAUUAAACAAUCGUUACGCGUUCAGAGUGGUCGAAAGCGUUAAGGAAACGGUAUAAAUUUUAAAUAUGACUUUAAACCAUCAACUAUAUACGACAUACAAAAUCCCACUGUACGCUACGGAGUAAGAAGAAGAUGAUACUUUAGAAAGAACUCAAAUGAUCGUCUGAACGCUUGGGUGUCAAUCGCAUCAAAAAUGGCUGUUUCGCAAUUGGUGGAGAAGCUAAAGUUUGGCGACAGGUACGUUUUGGUGAAUUUCGUCGUGAAGCCGGUGGAAGAUCCACCGUAUAGCGGCUCCCGGGUGGGGUUUGGAUUUGCGGAGCGAAACAAGUUUCUCUCGAGCGAAAUAUGGCAUUCGUUCGUCUACCCGAAGCUUCUUGAAAUAUUUGACCAAAAUUUGGCUUUGAUUGGUGAAAACCUUGAUCCGGCGUACGAAAAGGAUAAGGAUUAUUACUUGAAAUGUGUCGAGCGUCCCUACCUGGAAAUGAGGGUUAACAUCCGGGAUGGUUCUUAUCGCGACAGAUUGAACAUUUUGUUUCAAGAGGAGCUGAGAAAUUUACACCAAUCCUGCUUUUUUGUUGAAAUUAGAGAUCAAGGGCGUACUUUUGUGGAGAUAAUUAAGCGUCGCGACGAGUUUAUUGACAAACUGUUAGAUGAGAACAAAAGAAUGAAGGCGCAGAUCGCGGCUCAUGAAUCAGGCGCUCCGAAAGACGCUACCGGAGUAGAAGGAAACGAUCCGAAGCCAGUUAAAGAGCACGUGCCCGAGGCUCCGCCCGCCCAUCCAGCCCUUAUCAAAAGAACCUACAAACCGUCAGCCGAUAGCUCCCAACCCGGUCCUUCAUCCGCACCCGACUUUUACACAACGAAAAUUCUCGGUAAAUCUCCAACACGCCAAAACUCACCAAGCGGCUCAACCCCCGAGCAGGCGUGUAAAAUGGCAUGGCAGAAAAUGGCAGACAAACGGAAGCAGGAAGACUUGGGAGGGCCGAGCAAAACAAAAAGCCACAAGCCACAAACAACGAUCAAGAUGAAAAGGAAGAAGAAAAACCUAAAGUGCUCAAUUGCACCGACAUGCCUGAAUCGGAAAUCUUAGCCACAUUUGCCGAUUACAGGCAGGAGCUGCACGAAAUAUUUCUGAAGCACAAAGAUGAACUAGAAGAGCAGUGGAUGGCGAAUAAGGAGCUGGUCGACUAUACAGACGUUGGUCACUUGUUUAAUGAGGAUCAGAAGAUGGCCAUGAUGCAAGUACUGGAAAAUGAAUUUGUGCCAAUUGAACUAAAUGGAAAGUACACUGAAUUUUUUACCUCCACUCUGCUGAUGGAAUGGAUUAUACGUAUUUUCAUGAAGCGGUACAAAUUUACAACUCGCCAAGAGGCCUUAAAACUUAUCAGGAAGCAGGAAGAGGAGGUCCUUGAAUACAUUGCCAGAGAUUGGUAAUAAGCCACCAUAUGUGAUCUGAUCAUGGUUCCUUAACAUUUACAUUUGUUUUACAAAUUUCUCAUUGCCAUUUUUUUUGUAUUUAAUAAAUACGGCAGUGCGGCCGUUUUGCUUACUUGCUUGCUACAUUACCCUUUACGCUUAUCUGCUUCCAUCAAUGCUUAUUGCUUAAAAAAAAUCAAAAUAUGAAUAACAAUUCAAUAGCAAGUAAGGAAACGACAAUGUGUGGUGUAAUUCUUUGCAUGAUUUCCCGAAUGAAAUAUACGUGAAUUACGAGCAAAAAAAGGAGCAUUAU